UCAAGUAAUUAAGUGCAUGUGGUGGAUGCCUUGGCAGUCAGAGGCGAUGAAAGACGUGAUAGCCUGCGAAAAGCUCCGGGGAGGCGGCAAAUAUCCUUUGAUCCGGAGAUGUCUGAAUGGGGGAACCCACCUACUUUAAGGUAGGUAUUGCAACAUGAAUACAUAGUGUUGCAAGGCGAACGAGGGGAAGUGAAACAUCUCAGUACCCUUAGGAAAAGAAAUCAAUUGAGAUUCCCUCAGUAGCGGCGAGCGAACGGGGAUCAGCCCAUUAAGUUAUGUGUGUUUUAGUGGAACGCUCUGGGAAGUGCGAACGUAGAGGGUGAUAUUCCCGUACACGAAAGGGCACACAUAAUGAUGACGAGUAGGGCGAGGCACGUGAAACCUUGUCUGAAUAUGGGGGGACCAUCCUCCAAGGCUAAAUACUCCUGACUGACCGAUAGUGAACCAGUACCGUGAGGGAAAGGCGAAAAGAACCCCUGUGAGGGGAGUGAAAUAGAUCCUGAAACCGCAUGCAUACAAGCAGUGGGAGCACCUUCGUGGUGUGACUGCGUACCUUUUGUAUAAUGGGUCAGCGACUUAUAUUCAGUAGCGAGGUUAACCGUAUAGGGGAGCCGUAGAGAAAUCGAGUCUUAAUAGGGCGUUUAGUUGCUGGGU
rnacentral:rRNA from 1 species